AGUAGGUGUCUGGGUGUGAACCACACCAGGGACUGAAGAAGAGUGCUGCUUUCAGAAGAAGUGCCUUCUGUUUGAAGACAUCCAGUGGUGCCCAAAGAUGUUUGGAGCAAGCAGAAGGCAUCAGAUGGUGAACCUUUGAACUGCUGCUGGAGGAAAACGUGCUCAACUGUGGAUGCCACAAGCAGCCUUGGAAAUUUCACUUCAUUUAGGUUUUUCUGAGGAUGAGAAAUGGUCUGUGCCAUAAAUCAGCACUGGUAAUACAGAAACUUCAGUCUGGUAGAACACAGAGCAAUCUGCAGAUCAAGAGCUUAAUGGGCAGUUGAAUGAACAGGAUGAGUAUCUACAUGAUUUCCUUAGCCCAAGGCUUAGACUUCUCCAGCUGCAAGAGGAGGGUCAAAAUAGAGGAGAGGAUAGAUGGCCAGUACCAAGAUUUCCACCAAGAUUGUUGCAGGUGAAAAAAAACAACCUGACUUUCCCCACUGAAGGACAGUGGCAUGUUCACCACUGCUACCAUGCAACAGAAAGAACUUCAUG